ACGCUCGACACCUACGGGAGGCAGCAGUGGGGAAUAUUGCACAAUGGGGGAAACCCUGAUGCAGCGACGCCGCGUGAAGGAAGAAGUAUCUCGGUAUGUAAACUUCUAUCAGCAGGGAAGAAAAUGACGGUACCUGACUAAGAAGCCCCGGCUAACUACGUGCCAGUAGCCGCGGUAAUCUGAGCGGGCUGGCAAGGC
rnacentral:rRNA from 1 species